AUUCCACCGGUUCAUGACCCGAUUCCGGCAGCAGUCAUUUUCAGACCCGAACCGGUUUGUUUUUUCUCCAUUUAUAUAUACCCCACAUUUCAUACUCUUUAACCUCCAUGUACAGAUUUCACUAGGUUGCAUGUUUGUUUGAGACGACAUAAGUCAGGCCACUAAAAGUGCAGAAAGCUACCUAAUCUUGCUAGUACAAAACUACCUCCCUAUCAAUUUUGUUAAAGCAUAUUUUCACUUAUUUGGAGUGGUUUUGAACUUUUGACCAUUCUUUUGAAAGGGUAUUUGCAAAUGAAUAGAGGGGCACUACCAGAGAUGAUACACUGCCUCACUAUUCCGGCAAAUAUAUUCGCCGGAAACAAUGGUGGUGCUGGUAUGGAAAUGAGCGUACUCCAGCUACAACAGAUGAAUAUGAAGUGGAAACAACAAUCAGACACUCAUCUGAAUGAAGAUUACCAGUUGAGUGUGUUUUCUGAACCAGCUGUGCAAGAUCAACAGUUUAAAGGUUUGGUUGAGGGUGAUCAAGGUAUUGGAGAACUCGUGGCUCAGGCGAUGAAACCGGAUCCGGGUAUAGAAGAUGGAAGGAAUGAAUUUGGUAGAGCUGAGAAUAGCUUGAAUUAUGCUAGUUUUGUAUAUGGGAAUGGGUCUGAGUUUGAAAUGAACUAUGCGAUUCCAAGAACCGCCAGCUGCCCACCAGCAGUGGCGGAGGCAAUGGCAGAGGCGGCAGCAGUUGCCAAGAAAGAAAAGGAGGCGGCCCUGCAGGAAAAGUUUUGCUCUGCAGCUGGAAGAGAGAGUUUCAAGAAGAGGAAGUCCUAUAAGACUAGGGACCUUAAGGUUGUUGCUGAAGAACAAAACAGAGAGAAAAAGGCUAAGGGAUGUGUAGAAGAGGAGGAUUCUAAGAUCACAGAGCAAAAUAGCAAGAGCAAGAGCACCACCACCAGUAGUAACAACAACAAAGAAAUUUCCGCCAAUAAUUCGAAUGGGAAUUCAAAGCUCUCUCAGAUUCCAAAGCCUGAUUACAUCCACGUCCGAGCGCGACGUGGGCAAGCCACUGACAGCCAUAGCUUGGCAGAAAGAGUAAGGAGAGAAAAAAUUAGUGAGAAGAUGAAGUACCUGCAAGGUCUAGUACCUGGGUGCAGCAAGAUCACUGGGAAAGCUGGAAUGCUCGACGAAAUUAUCAACUACGUCCAAUCUCUUCAAAGACAAGUAGAGUUUCUAUCCAUGAAACUCGCUGCAAUCAAUCCAAGCCUUGAAUUUGACAUUGAAAACUUCAUAGCUAAGGAGAUGUUUCCAGCUAAUACAUCUAAAUUUCCCACAAUUGGGGUGUCGUCAGACGUCAUUAAUCCUUCUCACCUUCAGUUCAACUCAUUAUCACAAGGAAUUUCAUGUUACGGUCUAGAAAUGGGUGUAAAUCCUCCUGAUGUAAUGCUUCGAAGAACCAUCAGUGCUCCGGUAUCAAUGCCAGAGACACUUCUUGAAUCAUUCUAUUUAAAUCAAAUUCAGCAUUCAACCCUGGAUCCUGAGUUACAAAAUCUCUAUGGCAUGGAGUUUCAUCAAGGAAAAUCAACUUCAUUCAAUACUCAGCCAUUUACAGGAGACGAUUGAACCCCACAAAAGUUAAUGAUAUCGCUUGGGAGUAAUAUGGUCCUCCUCUUUAAUUUAUAUUGAGGAAGUUGCUUAUUAGGUUUCAUGGAAGCAGGUGAUGUCAAGCUCGAGAUGUGAAUUGCUACCAGGAUCGUGCAACCUUUAAUGAGUCAAAUCUAAAUGUUACUGAUACCAAUUCCUUUCCAAUUUCCAACUAUAUAUCGUAUAUACAGUUGCAGUGUAGAAAUAAAUAUAAGUGAUGAUAAUGUAAUUGCCUUUUGACCACAAAUUUUUCUUCUGUGUACGUAGCAACUGGUAAAGCAUCACAAGACGAUAGUGCAUAAGAAAGUGUAAAUGGCUAAAAGGUAGAAGUUCAGGCAGGUUGCAAAAAUCAACCAAGAUAAAACUGUAAGGAAAUGAAACAUGGCGUAAAACUGUAAAUCCUGUUUUGAUAUACAUUCUUUUUAAAACACAGAAUAAAUAAGAUAAUAAAUGCACUACACAGCUAAGUUCAACUUGUAUAUGUGCUGUAAAUUACUUACAGAUAAUUUGGCAUAAAACUACCAAAAUUAAUUUUUCAAAAAAAACCGAAAUAAGACAAAUGGAUCACGCGUCUAGUGUUACAAAUAUCCUGUCUAUUAAAUAUGAACGUCGUUUUACAGCAUGACACGCUGGAGGGUUGUAUUUUGAACAUAAUAAUACAGUACAUGACCUCGACCUACAGAAUAAUCAUUUAAUGCAAAAUAAAGGUAAUAAAUCUGAUUCUAAAAACACUGAUUAACUAUUUAGUCAUCCCUGCUUCUAAAGGGAGCUUUUUGGGCUUUAUAAUCAAUAAAGAUGCAGCACAUGGCCUAUGCUUUUCACGUUAGUUUCACGUAAUAAGACCACACGCAGUCUUUCUCUUUCAAGCCAUUUGUAAAAGGCCAAAGGUGGACCAAGCCUCAUCCAAAAGCCAGAUCUCCUUGAUUCUCUUUGACGCAAUGACUGGUGUGGGAAAACUUGCAAUUUGUAAUACUGUGUCCACUCACCUGUAUGAAUUUUUAUGUUUAUUAAUACUUAAAAUAUCUUACUUUUGGCAUAUUACAUUUCAGACAUAAAGCUAAAACCUAAAAGAUUCUUCAAGCUUUGUGGAUGCAGUAUAUUUGUCAAGCUGAUAUUUUCCUGAAAGCAAUCCAUAUCAGGUCAUAUACUUAGCCCUUCACACCUGCUCUGUUGUUUUUCUAAAUUUUAUCAUAGUCGAUUCAAAACUUCCUAUCUACCUUUUUGCCAGAAUAAAAUAUGGGAAAUGUGAGUAACUAAUGAAUGGCAUGUCCUACCCAAAACAGAUUUAAGUUAGAAGUGGUCCGGGGCAGCUGACCAGAAACAGUAGCAACAAAACUGUGCAAAAUGAAAUCUGGGGAAUGAAACUAAAGGGUUUCCAGAACUUUGAGGAAUGUAGAUACAAAAAACCAAAAUGAAUUAUAUGAUCUAACAUAGAAUCUCACAUUCAGAUCCAGUGGAUUUGCGUUAUUCUGUUAGCGAUCAAUCUUUUGUUGAAUGCUCUGUCAAAGAUGGAUAUUUGAUUGAUUCUAUAUAAACUUGUAAACUGAAGAAGGAAAGAGUUAAAUUGAUCAGAUGAAGCAGAAGCAUGCCUAAUACUUGAUCCGGCAGCCAAUUUUACCGUAAAAUAGUUAAUAAAAAGUGGUAUAGAUCAUUGGAUCUAUGAUGCAUGCACCAAAAGAAAAAUGUAUAUCUGCAUAAAUGAUGCGGGCUUGUAUCCCUUAUUCCCGAAGCAAAAUAUUAUGUAUGGAAGUCAUAGUUUCCUUUAGAAUCAGAGUACAAAAGGCCGAUGCUGGAAAUUAGGAUGAUUUUCUCAAGAGGAAACCGGGGUCAACUGGCUCUCUCCUAAUUACAAAAAGGAGAAACAUUUUCUGUGUGUGUGUUAUGUGUGAUUUCACAUAUAUAAAAUAGCGUUUUAUUUCAUA